CGCUUCUCUGGAUUCUGUUUAACAAUAAGCUUCAACAGCAGUUCAGUCGUUUUUAUGCAAUGUCUUCGAUUGAAAACAUUUUUAAAAGCAAUGAGUGUUUAUAUAAUCAAAGCUCCGAGGGAUAUAGGCACACUCAAGCAAAACAAAGAUUGUGGAAUGAAAUAGGAGACGCUCUGCAGAAAACGGGCUUGGUUUGCAGUAAGAGAUAGGCGUAUGUUCACGAUUACUACAUAAGAAGAAGAGGUAAACCAGGUACUGGUUCAUCGAGUAAAGCAGCUAAAAGACGGUCCGUAAGCUUAUCUUUUUUAGAUAGCUGUCCUUCAGCAAAGAGAUGAUAGAUACUAUCAGUAAAAUUGGAGACCCGGGUGCCGAUAGGAGUGUGGUGGAAUACCUGUGUGAAGGAGAGCCUGGUUCAACUGAUUUGCAAUUUGAAGACUACAAUACCUAUGUCAGUACAAAAAAUGAGAAAAUUGAAAUUGAACGAUCUCCUUUCCCCAAGAGCAAAUCCCAGUCGGUAAGGUCUAAGAACUCUGAAGAGCGUUUAAAACUUCUCCGAGAAA